GGGAUAACAUUUGGAAACAGAUGCUAAUACCGCAUAGAUCCAAGAACCGCAUGGUUCUUGGCUGAAAGAUGGCGUAAGCUAUCGCUUUUGGAUGGACCCGCGGCGUAUUAGCUAGUUGGUGAGGUAAUGGCUCACCAAGGCGAUGAUACGUAGCCGAACUGAGAGGUUGAUCGGCCACAUUGGGACUGAGACACGGCCCAAACUCCUACGGGAGGCAGCAGUAGGGAAUCUUCCACAAUGGACGCAAGUCUGAUGGAGCAACGCCGCGUGAGUGAAGAAGGCUUUCGGGUCGUAAAACUCUGUUGUUGGAGAAGAAUGGUCGGCAGAGUAACUGUUGUCGGCGUGACGGUAUCCAACCAGAAAGCCACGGCUAACUACGUGCCAGCAGCCGCGGUAAUACGUAGGUGGCAAGCGUUAUCCGGAUUUAUUGGGCGUAAAGCGAGCGCAGGCGGUUUUUUAAGUCUGAUGUGAAAGCCCUCGGCUUAACCGAGGAAGCGCAUCGGAAACUGGGAAACUUGAGUGCAGAAGAGGACAGUGGAACUCCAUGUGUAGCGGUGAAAUGCGUAGAUAUAUGGAAGAACACCAGUGGCGAAGGCGGCUGUCUGGUCUGUAACUGACGCUGAGGCUCGAAAGCAUGGGUAGCGAACAGGAUUAGAUACCCUGGUAGUCCAUGCCGUAAACGAUGAAUGCUAGGUG
rnacentral:rRNA from 2 species